rnacentral:rRNA from 1 species
ACUCAAAUGAAUUGACGGGGGCCCGCACAAGCGGUGGAGCAUGUGGUUUAAUUCGAUGCAACGCGAAGAACCUUACCUGCCCUUGACAUACCAAGAACCUUGUAGAGAUAUAGGGGUGCCGAAAGGAGCUUGGAUACAGGUGCUGCAUGGCUGUCGUCAGCUCGUGUCGUGAGAUGUUGGGUUAAGUCCCGUAACGAGCGCAACCCUUAUUCUUAGUUACCAGCAUAUAAUGAUGGGGACUCUAAGAAGACUGCUGGUGAGAAGCCGGAGGAAGGCGGGGACGACGUCAAGUCAUCAUGGCCCUUACGGGCAGGGCUACACACGUGCUACAAUGGUCGGUACAGAAGGCGGCGAACUCGAGAGAGGAAGCGAAUCCUUUAAAGCCGGUCGUAGUCCGGAUCGGAGUCUGCAACUCGACUCCGUGAAGUCGGAAUCGCUAGUAAUCGCGAAUCAGCAUGUCGCGGUGAAUACGUUCCCGGGCCUUGUACACACCGCCCGU